AGGAACAAAUGGGGGCAGACUGAGCCACGAGCUUGAAGAGCCGGCUCUGCAUGAUUGUAUUAUCCCAAGAGACUCCGGCCCUGUUUCUCCCGCGCACAGAAGGGUUCUGUGCGCACUGAGGUUCAAAUGCAAGAAUAAUUGUGAACACAAAAGUACUAUUCCAAGGCAGAGACCACCGCCAUUCCUUGAACCUCACGGUAACUAUGUGCCAAGGUCCCUCCCUGAGGAAAUCCCCAUCAUGACAAGCACUCAGAGAAGUUGGUUGGUACAGAGUUUCUCUGCUGGUUACCCCAGGUGUGGUGUGGACCCCAGAAGGAUGACAGUUUGAAUCCAAGGGCAGUCCCCUUCCUGGCACAGCAAGCAAAAUAAAGUGAAGCCCCUGGAGGCUCAGGCUCCACAGCAAGACCACAGAGAAGACCAGCCCUCUCCCAUUGCCACAAAGACAAGAGAUAGCUUGAAAGAAGACAGCUAAAAGUGGUGGGUAAACAUUUAAGCCCCAGCACCUGUUGGCUUGAAUUUGCAUGUUCUAUGACUAAUCCUCUGCUCUGUACACAAACUCUCCUUUACCUGCCGGGCUAAUGUCCCAUUCUAAACAAAUUUUGUCCUAAAGGCCACUAACGUUUCACUGCUAGCCCAAAGCUAGACCAUUUUCUCAGCGGCAGUGAGUGACAGCAGGGUUCAAGGGCAGGAGAGCCAAUAUGACAGAUGGUUCUAGCUGUGAGUUCUAGCUGUGGGUGGCAGAGAGAGGGAAGUUGGGCCGCUUGAAGCUGCUUAGUCUGCCAACUUGUAAGAGAUUCUGCAUCACAGUCACAACCUAUCCUGUGCAACCCUGCCCAGAGCCAGGAGAGCAAAGGGGCCCUGCUGUAGUUAACACUCAACUCCAGAAACUGUAAACACAAAAGCAAACACCAUGGUUGGCUGGCAGCCUGGGGGCACUAUGGCUUUACACCAGCAGCUUCGAAAGGACACAGAAACCAUGGGGUAAGAGUCCAAAGGGUGGAGAGUCAACUGGGGUGGGUAGGUGAAUACCCAGCAACCCACCCACCCCCAGGGAGCCUGGGGU
rnacentral:lncRNA from 1 species